GGGCGUUAAGUUGCAGGGUAUAGACCCGAAACCCGGUGAUCUAGCCAUGGGCAGGUUGAAGGUUGGGUAACACUAACUGGAGGACCGAACCGACUAAUGUUGAAAAAUUAGCGGAUGACCUGUGGCUGGGGGUGAAAGGCCAAUCAAACCGGGAGAUAGCUGGUUCUCCCCGAAAGCUAUUUAGGUAGCGCCUCGUGAAUUCAUCUCCGGGGGUAGAGCACUGUUUCGGCUAGGGGGCCAUCCCGGCUUACCAACCCGAUGCAAACUGCGAAUACCGGAGAAUGUUAUCACGGGAGACACACGGCGGGUGCUAACGUCCGUCGUGAAGAGGGAAACAACCCAGACCGCCAGCUAAGGUCCCAAAGUCAUGGUUAAGUGGGAAACGAUGUGGGAAGGCCCAGACAGCCAGGAUGUUGGCUUAGAAGCAGCCAUCAUUUAAAGAAAGCGUAAUAGCUCACUGGUCGAGUCGGCCUGCGCGGAAGAUGUAACGGGGCUAAACCAUGCACCGAAGCUGCGGCAGCGACGCUGAUGCGUUGUUGGGUAGGGGAGCGUUCUGUAAGCCUGCGAAGGUGGCCUGUGAGGGUUGCUGGAGGUAUCAGAAGUGCGAAUGCUGACAUAAGUAACGAUAAAGCGGGUGAAAAGCCCGCUCGCCGGAAGACCAAGGGUUCCUGUCCAACGUUAAUCGGGGCAGGGUGAGUCGACCCCUAAGGCGAGGCCGAAAGGCGUAGUCGAUGGGAAACGGGUUAAUAUUCCCGUACUUGGUGUUACUGCGAAGGGGGGACGGAGAAGGCUAUGUUGGCCGGGCGACGGUUGUCCCGGUUUAAGCGUGUAGGUGUGUGUUCCAGGUAAAUCCGGUUCACUUUAACACUGAGGCGUGAUGACGAGGCACUACGGUGCUGAAGCAACAAAUGCCCUGCUUCCAGGAAAAGCCUCUAAGCAUCAGGUAACAUCAAAUCGUACCCCAAACCGACACAGGUGGUCAGGUAGAGAAUACCAAGGCGCUUGAGAGAACUCGGGUGAAGGAACUAGGCAAAAUGGUGCCGUAACUUCGGGAGAAGGCACGCUGACACGUAGGUGAAGUGAUUUACUCAUGGAGCUGAAGUCAGUCGAAGAUACCAGCUGGCUGCAACUGUUUAUUAAAAACACAGCACUGUGCAAACACGAAAGUGGACGUAUACGGUGUGACGCCUGCCCGGUGCCGGAAGGUUAAUUGAUGGGGUCAGCGCAAGCGAAGCUCCUGAUCGAAGCCCCGGUAAACGGCGGCCGUAACUAUAACGGUCCUAAGGUAGCGAAAUUCCUUGUCGGGUAAGUUCCGACCUGCACGAAUGGCGUAAUGAUGGCCAGGCUGUCUCCACCCGAGACUCAGUGAAAUUGAACUCGCUGUGAAGAUGCAGUGUACCCGCGGCAAGACGGAAAGACCCCGUGAACCUUUACUAUAGCUUGACACUGAACAUUGAGCCUUGAUGUGUAGGAUAGGUGGGAGGCUUUGAAGUGU
rnacentral:rRNA from 1 species